rnacentral:rRNA from 1 species
GAUGAACGCUGGCGGCGUGCCUAAUACAUGCAAGUCGAGCGAACAGACGAGGAGCUUGCUCCUCUGACGUUAGCGGCGGACGGGUGAGUAACACGUGGAUAACCUACCUAUAAGACUGGGAUAACUUCGGAAAACCGGAGCUAGUACCGGAUAAUAUAUUGAACAACAUGGUUCAAUAGUCAAAGACGGUUUUGCUGUCACUUAUAGAUGUAUCCGCGCCGCAUUAGCUAGUUGGUAAGGUAACGGCUUACCAAGGCAAGGAUGGGUAGCCGACCGGAGAGGGGGAUCGGCCAAAUUGGAACUGAGACACGGCCCAGACUCCUACGGGAGGCAGCAGUAGGGAACCUUCGGCAAUGGGCGAAAGCCUGACGGAGCAACGCCGCGUGAGUGAUGAAGGUCUUCGGAUCGUAAAACUCUGUUAUUAGGGAAGAACAAAUGUGUAAGUAACUAUGCACGUCUUGACGGUACCUAAUCAGAAAGCCACGGCUAACUACGUG